rnacentral:lncRNA from 1 species
UCAAAAUAGUGCAUGCAAGUAAAUUCAACCCAAGUGUCAUUUUGUGUACAUUUUGUGUGUGUAAAAUGUGUAUAAAUUUACUGAUGAGUAAUUUGCCUUUUCAUUUUAUAGAUCGUACAUAGAAGCUAGAAAAAUAAUAAUUACACCACUGGAUUCAGUACAUUGAAUAGUUUUGUCAGACAUAAAUAUUUUUUAUGAUAAACAUAUAUUUAAAAGGUUAUACAAUGAAACAUUCUGAGUUUUCAUCGAUUUUCUCGAUAACACCUGAUUAACAGACUUUAGCCAACCCGAUUAACAGACCCACUGCCGAUAUAGCCGCAUACUCAAUAUAGAUU